rnacentral:rRNA from 1 species
CUUCCGGAGCUAACGCGUUAAGUCGACCGCCUGGGGAGUACGGCCGCAAGGUUAAAACUCAAAUGAAUUGACGGGGGCCCGCACAAGCGGUGGAGCAUGUGGUUUAAUUCGAUGCAACGCGAAGAACCUUACCUGGUCUUGACAUCCACGGAAGUUUUCAGAGAUGAGAAUGUGCCUUCGGGAACCGUGAGACAGGUGCUGCAUGGCUGUCGUCAGCUCGUGUUGUGAAAUGUUGGGUUAAGUCCCGCAACGAGCGCAACCCUUAUCCUUUGUUGCCAGCGGUCCGGCCGGGAACUCAAAGGAGACUGCCAGUGAUAAACUGGAGGAAGGUGGGGAUGACGUCAAGUCAUCAUGGCCCUUACGACCAGGGCUACACACGUGCUACAAUGGCGCAUACAAAGAGAAGCGACCUCGCGAGAGCAAGCGGACCUCAUAAAGUGCGUCGUAGUCCGGAUUGGAGUCUGCAACUCGACUCCAUGAAGUCGGAAUCGCUAGUAAUCGUGGAUCAGAAUGCCACGGUGAAUACGUUCCCGGGCCUUGUACACACCGCCCGUCACACCAUGGGAGUGGGUUGCAAAAGAAGUAGGUAGCUUAACCUUCGGGAGGGCGCUUACCACUUUGUGAUUCAUGACUGGGGUGAAGUCGUAACAAGGUAACCGUAGGGGAACCUGCGGUUGGAUCACCUCCUUACCUUAAAGAAGC